CCUACGGGAGGCAGCAGUGGGGAAUUUUGGACAAUGGGCGCAAGCCUGAUCCAGCAAUGCCGCGUGAGUGAAGAAGGCCUUCGGGUUGUAAAGCUCUUUUGUCAGGGAAGAAACGGUGGAGGUUAAUACCUUCUGCUAAUGACGGUACCUGAAGAAUAAGCACCGGCUAACUACGUGCCAGCAGCCGCGGUAAUACGUAGGGUGCAAGCGUUAAUCGGAAUUACUGGGCGUAAAGCGUGCGCAGGCGGUUGUGCAAGACAGAUGUGAAAUCCCCGGGCUCAACCUGGGAAUUGCAUUUGUGACUGCACGGCUAGAGUGUGUCAGAGGGGGGUAGAAUUCCACGUGUAGCAGUGAAAUGCGUAGAGAUGUGGAGGAAUACCGAUGGCGAAGGCAGCCCCCUGGGAUAACACUGACGCUCAUGCACGAAAGCGGUGGGGAGACAAACGAGGAUUAGAUACCCGUGGUACGUCCACGACCCUAAACGAUGUCAACUGGUUGUUGGGUAGGGUUUCUCUCAGUAACGUGCGUACGCGUGAGUUGACCGCCGUGGGGUAAGUCGGCCGCGAGUUGAAACGUUAAAGGAAGUUGACGG
rnacentral:rRNA from 1 species